GGGUCAGCUUCACUAAGUCAAAAACUUCUUGUUUCUUUUUUGAAUUGCCUUGACUUGGCUUCCUUAAGGAGAUUUAUCCCAUUGUUGAAUUCUUCAUUUCGAGCAUCUAGAAAAUUCUAUAUUUAUUCUUGAAAUACAUGAUUAGCACUAUAAUUACUCAAAAUUUGAUAAUCAUCAAAAUUAAUUAUUGAAUCAACAAUCUCCUCCU
rnacentral:lncRNA from 1 species